rnacentral:rRNA from 1 species
GAUAAACGCUAGCGGCAUGCCUAAUACAUGCAAGUCGAACGCUCUCGAUCUUCGGAUCAAUGAGAGAGUGGCGAACGGGUGAGUAACACGUAAGAAACCUGCCCCAAAGUCGAGGAUAACCAUUGGAAACGAUGGCUAAUACUGGAUAGGAUAUAAAACCGCAUGGUUUAAUAUUUAAAGGUGCGUUUGCACCGCUAUGGGAUGGUCUUGCGCUGCAUUAGCUAGUUGGUAGGGUAACGGCCUACCAAGGCGACGAUGCAUAGCUGGUCUGAGAGGAUGAACAGCCACACCGGGACUGAG